rnacentral:misc_RNA from 1 species
GAAAUGCGAUAAGUAAUGUGAAUUGCAGAAUUCCGUGAAUCAUCGAAUCUUUGAACGCACAUUGCGCCCUCUGGUAUUCCGGGGGGCAUGCCUGUCCGAGCGUCAUUGCAAACCCCUCAAGCACGGCUUGUGUGAUGGGCCCUCCCGCGUCUUGGUCGUCAAGACGGGCCCGAAAUGCAGUGGCGGCUUCGCGGUUAUCCGAUCAGCCAGAGCGUAUGGGGACUUUCUCUCUGUCACACGCCCGCGGCGCGGACCGACGCCUGUCGACCUUUAUUCAUCUUUUUCUCGGUUGACCUCGGAUCAGGUAGGGAUACCCGCUGAACUUAAGC